rnacentral:rRNA from 1 species
UACGUAGGGUGCGAGCGUUAAUCGGAAUUACUGGGCGUAAAGUGUGCGCAGGCGGCCGCGCAAGUCGAGUGUGAAAGCCCCGGGCUUAACUUGGGAAUUGCGCUCGAAACUACGUGGCUGGAGUGUGGCAGAGGAAGGUGGAAUUCCACGUGUAGCGGUGAAAUGCGUAGAGAUGUGGAGGAACACCGAUGGCGAAGGCAGCCCCCUGGGCUAACACUGACGCCUCAUGCACGAAAGCGUGGGGAGCAAACAGG